CUACGGGUCGCAGCAGGCGAGAAAACUUUGCAAUGUGCGAAAGCACGACAAGGUUAAUCCGAGUGGUUUCUGCUAAAGGAACCUUUUGUCGGUCCUAGAAACACCGAUGAAUAAGGGGUGGGCAAGUUCUGGUGUCAGCCGCCGCGGUAAAACCAGCACCUCAAGUGGUCAGGAUGAUUAUUGGGCCUAAAGCAUCCGUAGCCGGCUCUGUAAGUUUUCGGUUAAAUCUGUACGCUCAACGUACGGGCUGCCGGGAAUACUGCAGAGCUAGGGAGUGGGAGAGGUGGACGGUACUCGGUAGGAAGGGGUAAAAUCCUUUGAUCUAUUGAUGACCACCUGUGGCGAAGGCGGUCUACCAGAACACGUCCGACGGUGAGGGAUGAAAGCUGGGGGAGCAAACCGGAUUAGAUACCCCCGUAGUC
rnacentral:rRNA from 1 species